CUCACAGACCAAACCCCAGGGUUGUCCUUGGAGACUGGGUAGGCAGAACUGGGCCCCCACUUUUCGAAUGUCCCGUGGACAUCAGCCACCGAUUGCCAUUAACUCCUGCGAGGACAAGGGCAGUUCUUGACGUCGUCCCAGCGUCAGAGAGGGCCAGCAGGGAUGGAAUCUUGCUCCCUGAAUUUUCUACUGCUGGUCCUACUUGACCACCUGCAUGGACAGCGGAUGUUUCAUUCUCCUCCGUGUGACAACCUCAUUGGAUAGUGGAAAUGGAUACAGCACGAAGGGGCAGAACAUGGACACAGGACAGGAUAGCCGCGAGGUUGCACAGGGACAUGUCACUGAGAGACAGAGGAGCUAGCAUCCAAACAGAUCCUCGAUCUUCAGAGGGGAGCCUCGUGGCAUCCCCGUGCUUCCUCCUCGGGUGCAGGGAACCACCUAGGAACGCGGGGCCCCUGACUUUGGCAGGCAGGGCAAAGCCAUAAAAUGAGCUGCAAGCCUUGCCGCCCUGGGUGGAGAGAGUGUUCAGAUUACAGCCUUAUUUAUUCAUUGCUGCAAUAGCUGUACUCUCUCUGAUCUUUCUCUCCAAGUCUCUUGGGUUGAGCAAAGAAAACACUCUCGGGAAGAGCAUAAUA